rnacentral:rRNA from 1 species
AUUGAACGCUGGCGGCAGGCCUAACACAUGCAAGUCGAGCGGAUGAAGUGAGCUUUCUCCUGGAUUCAGCGUCGGACGGUUGUGUAAUGCCUAUGAAUCUGCCUGGUUUUGUUGUAUAACGUCCUGAAACGGGCGCUAAUACCGCAUACGUCCUGAUGUUGAAAGUUGGGGUUCUUCGGACCUCACGCUAUCUGAUGUGCCUAGGUCGGAUUAGCUAGUUGGUGGGGUAAAGGCCUACCAGGGCGACGAUCCGUAACUGGUCUGAGAGGAUGAUCAGUCACACUGGAAGUGAGACACGGUAAAGAGAACUACGGGAGGAAGCAGUGGGGAAUAUUGGACAAUGGGCGAAAGCAUGAUACAGAAAAGCCGCGUGUGUGAAGAAGGUCUUAGGAUUGUAAAGAACUUUAAGUUGGGAGGAAGGGAAGUAAGUUAAUACAUUGAUGUUUUGACGUUAACAAAAGAAUAAGCAACGGCUAACUUCGUG